rnacentral:tRNA from 5 species
UCCUCAGUAGCUCAGUGGUAGAGCGGUCGACUGUUAAUCGAUUGGUCGCAAGUUCGAAUCUUGCCUGGGGAG